rnacentral:rRNA from 1 species
AGAGUUUGAUCCUGGCUCAGGACGAACGCUGGCGGCGUGCUUAACACAUGCAAGUCGAACGGGAAGAGAUGAAGAGCUUGCUCUUUAUCGAAUCCAGUGGCAAACGGGUGAGUAACACGUAAACAACCUGCCUUCAGGAUGGGGACAACAGACGGAAACGACUGCUAAUACCGAAUACGUUCCACGGGCCGCAUGACCUGUGGAAGAAAGGGUAGCCUCUACCUGUAAGCUAUCGCCUGAAGAGGGGUUUGCGUCUGAUUAGGCAGUUGGUGGGGUAACGGCCCACCAAACCAACGAUCAGUAGCCGGUCUGAGAGGAUGAACGGCCACACUGGAACUGAGACACGGUCCAGACUCCUACGGGAGGCAGCAGUGGGGAAUCUUCCGCAAUGGACGAAAGUCUGACGGAGCAACGCCGCGUGAGUGAAGACGGCCUUCGGGUUGUAAAGCUCUGUGAUCCGGGACGAAAGAGCCUUGGGUAAAUAGCCUAAGGAAGUGACGGUACCGGAAAAGCAAGCCACGGCUAACUACGUGCCAGCAGCCGCGGUAAUACGUAGGUGGCAAGCGUUGUCCGGAAUUAUUGGGCGUAAAGCGCGCGCAGGCGGCUUCCUAAGUCCAUCUUAAAAGUGCGGGGCUUAACCCCGUGAUGGGAUGGAAACUGGGAAGCUGGAGUAUCGGAGAGGAAAGUGGAAUUCCUAGUGUAGCGGUGAAAUGCGUAGAGAUUAGGAAGAACACCGGUGGCGAAGGCGACUUUCUGGACGAAAACUGACGCUGAGGCGCGAAAGCGUGGGGAGCAAACAGGAUUAGAUACCCUGGUAGUCCACGCCGUAAACGAUGGAUACUAGGUGUAGGAGGUAUCGACCCCUCCUGUGCCGGAGUUAACGCAAUAAGUAUCCCGCCUGGGAAGUACGAUCGCAAGAUUAAAACUCAAAGGAAUUGACGGGGGCCCGCACAAGCGGUGGAGUAUGUGGUUUAAUUCGACGCAACGCGAAGAACCUUACCAGGUCUUGACAUUGAUCGCAAUUUUCAGAAAUGAGAAGUUCUCCUUCGGGAGACGAGAAAACAGGUGGUGCACGGCUGUCGUCAGCUCGUGUCGUGAGAUGUUGGGUUAAGUCCCGCAACGAGCGCAA